UACGUAGGGUGCGAGCGUUAAUCGGAAUUACUGGGCGUAAAGCGUGCGCAGGCGGUGAGCUGUGUCCGAUGUGAAAGCCCCGGGCUUAACCUGGGAAUGGCAUUGGAAACUGGCUCGCUGGAGUGUGGCAGAGGGGGGUGGAAUUCCGCGUGUAGCAGUGAAAUGCGUAGAGAUGCGGAGGAACACCGAUGGCGAAGGCAGCCCCCUGGGUCAAGACUGACGCUCAUGCACGAAAGCGUGGGGAGCAAACAGG
rnacentral:rRNA from 1 species